UAGUGGCGAACGGGUGAGUAACGCGUUGGUGAUCUGCCUCGAAGUGUGGAAUAACGUUCCGAAAGGAUCGCUAAUACCGCAUGUGCUCUCGAUUUUUAGAAACUUGAGAGUAAAGGAUUUAUUCGCUUCGAGAGGAGCCUGCGUCCCAUCAGCUGGUUGGUAGGGUAACGGCCUACCAAGGCUAUGACGGGUAGGGGACCUGAGAGGGUGGCCCCCCACAAUGGAACUGAAACACGGUCCAUACACCUACGGGUGGCAGCAGUAGGGAAUAUUAGUAAUGGGCGAAAGCCUGAACUAGCAACGCCGCGUGUGCGAAGAAGGCCUUCGGGUUGUAAAGCACUUUUUGAGAGGAUGAGGAAGGACGGUACUCUCAGAAUAAGUCUCGGCUAACUACGUGCCAGCAGCCGCGGUAACACGUAGGAGGCGAACGUUAUCCGGAUUUACUGGGCGUAAAGCGCGUGUAGGUGGUUUGGUAAGUAGGGCGUGAAAGCUCCUGGCUCAACUGGGAGAGGCCGUUCUAAACUGCCGAACUAGAGGAUGGUAGAGGGAGGUGGAAUUCCGGGUGUAGCGGUGGAAUGCGCAGAUAUCCGGAGGAACACCAGUGGCGAAAGCGGCCUCCUGGACCACUCCUGACACUCAGACGCGAAAGCUAGGGUAGCAAACG
rnacentral:rRNA from 1 species